UCCAGGACUUCCACUGAUGGCUUCAGCCCUCACACCCCCAGGCCAGGAGCCAGCAGGACAUCCCAGGCACCACAGCAGGAUCCAUCUGGGGUCCACAGGGCCCCAGCAGAGAGCUGACACCUGCUUGCCAUCAUGGAGGAGCCUGCCAUCAAGAGGCACCUGAAGAUGAUUCAACUCAAUGCUUCAGUCUAUGAAGAUGUGGCUGGGUGUCUUCCAGUGCAGGAAUAUGUCUAUAUACACACCACUGUCAUAUCAAGUUCAAGGCCCUCAGGGUGCCUACAAGAAGGCCCACAUGGUAUUCUGUGCUCUGGGCCAGCCCCUCAGGACUGCCCCUUCCAUGAAGAGAUGGAUUGGGUGCACCAGCCCAGCCAACCUCAGGGAGCAGACCCAGCCAUGGGAUCUUGACCACCACAACCAGCUGACCCAGGGAAGAAAAAAAAAGUCAUUAGCAGAAAGAUGGGCCAGAAGGGUGCUCUCCUCAGCCGCAGCAGCAGCAGAGGCACCAGAACUAGAGGUGGAAGACGGAGACAGAGCAUCAGUUUAAGCUAGAAGUGGAAGUGUUGGAGCUGCAAGUCGGAGUGACCUCCGACUUGAAAGCCCGGCUGGUACCCAGACCAACAAGACAACCGAGAUGGAGAUUAGCCAGGAUGCCUAAGAAAAUGGGCCAGAAGUCCAGAGGGGACCAGUCUCCAGACAGAAACCAGCCUCAGCGAGAAACUUCGUCAUCAGCUCCUGGGGUGUCUACAGUGCCCCCUAGAGCACAGGUGCCACCGAUGAACAGAAAAGACUGACCUAAAAUGCCUCGCUUUCCCUCCUCCCUG